GACGAACGCUGGCGGCGUGCCUAAUACAUGCAAGUUGAGCGCUGAAGGUUGGUACUUGUACCGACUGGAUGAGCAGCGAACGGGUGAGUAACGCGUGGGGAAUCUGCCUUUGAGCGGGGGACAACAUUUGGAAACGAAUGCUAAUACCGCAUAAAAACUUUAAACACUAGUUUUAAGUUUGAAAGAUGCAAUUGCAUCACUCAAAGAUGAUCCCGCGUUGUAUUAGCUAGUUGGUGAGGUAAAGGCUCACCAAGGCGAUGAUACAUAGCCGACCUGAGAGGGUGAUCGGCCACAUUGGGACUGAGACACGGCCCAAACUCCUACGGGAGGCAGCAGUAGGGAAUCUUCGGCAAUGGACGAAAGUCUGACCGAGCAACGCCGCGUGAGUGAAGAAGGUUUUCGGAUCGUAAAACUCUGUUGGUAGAGAAGAACGUUGGUGAGAGUGGAAAGCUCAUCAAGUGACGGUAACUACCCAGAAAGGGACGGCUAACUACGUG
rnacentral:rRNA from 1 species